CUCUUUUUUGUCUUCAUCAAUCCAUUUACAUUUUGUUGUUAAUUUUUUCAAUUGUUUUGUUUUCACUUCAUCCUAAUCAUGAAAUUUUCUAGUUUCUGAUCCUCAUCCUCUUUAUGUUAAUUUAAACCUAAGUGGAAAAUCGUAACAAAUUGAAAUGAUUUAUUCAAGAUUAUGAUUGUGCCUGUUUCAUCUGUUAUUCAAGAUAUAUCAAAGCUUACCAAGACUGGAAUUAUACUCAACAAUCAAAUGCCUCCCAGCUGAUGAUGGUUAACUACGACUUAUUUAUGAAUGAUGGUCUAGAAGAGCGGUAUUGAUUUAAAGAAACAAUGAAUGAUCUGAUUAAAGCUCACAUUCGAGAGGAGAGGAAUUGGCUGUGAAGCGAUUGUUUAUUUUGUCUACCAAAUCUUCCCUAGCAAGUACAGUCCUAUUGCAGCUACAAUUCAUAAUCAGUCAGAUUCUGAUUACCAUCUGAAAGUGUCAAUUGAAAUUGGUGAAAUCUCCUUGUUGCCAUCAAGCAAUCAUUUGAUUCCUUGUAUGCGUUUUUGACUAGCAUUCAUUAUUAAUAUUUAAUAACUCCAUCCAACAGUUACAUUUUAUAAUUUAAAGCCUCUUCUUAAUUUCAAUCAACUCCACACUUAUUUACUAAUUAGCAAAUAAUUUUGUUUUCCUUUCCCACCAUGAAAAGUAGUUGCAUAUAAUACUGUUAUUAAUAUAGAUUAACAUCUCCCCAAUUGAGGUUUAACAAAUUUGUAACUACUCUUUAAAUGCCACUGAAGGUCAAUCUGAAGUGCAAAUAAUUAUAUAAGAAUUAAUUAUGAGCUGAAAUUUGGGAAUGAAAUAAAAAAUCUAAUAUAAAAUUAAAAGAUUAACAAACAAUAAGAA